UUAAUCCCUCCCACUAGCCGAAAAGAGGUUAUUACCUUUUUUCUCAUCUAACAAAACAGUUAUUUGCUAAAUAUUUUAACGUUUUUUUAAAUUAGUUUUGCUACCGCUCUACUAGUGCGCUGUCUUAAUUUUUAUACCGAUCGAAAGUGUAGUGUUAUUCUGUGAUAUUUUUGACUGAUUUAAGUUUUAGUUGACAGCUGUGGAAUGACUAAUAGGCGGUGGUGUACCUAUAUAAAAUUUAUAUAGAAAAUAUCGUAAAUUAUACAGUGCAAUCAGAUAGCAAAGAUUUUAGUAACUGAGUCAUUUAGAGAGCAAAAUGUUGAUGUGAGGAAGCCUAAAAAAACACUGCAAAUAUGUCAAAAAAUAACCUCAACGAGAAUGGGUCUAGAAGUGUCUCCUCGAACAGUUUCAACAGUUUUUUGUCUGAUGGGGAGAUCAUAGAAAGUGGUUUAGAAGACAUUCACAUCUCGAGUAAAAGUAACAGACCGUCUUCUACGUCCAAAGCUCAUAAAGCCAAAAGAAUUAGGUUCUACCACAAUGGCAACAAAUUCUUCAGUGGGGUUGUUAUCCCUGUGGCCCCUGAAAGAUAUAGAUCUUUUGAUAGUUUAACGAAUGAGUUGACAAACAUUCUAACGAAAAGUGUCACGCUACCUAAUGGUGUUCGGAAUGUGUAUUCCAUGGAGGGAAAGAAGGUGUGUAACAUCGACGAUCUCGAAGACGGAAAAGAGUACGUCGUGUGCGGCAAGGGUGAGUUGUUCAAGAAAAUCGACUACACCAAAACGGAUACCCUCCGGUCCAAACGUCUUACAAACACCAAGUUCACGUUGAACAGUUAUUCUAAUGUGCCCAGGAUAGUCGUACCCGAUUGUGUACGACCGAAAAUCGUCACUAUUAUACGUAAUGGAAUUAAACCCAGAAAGAUUUCUCGACUGCUUCUCAAUAAGAGAAAUUCACCCAGUUUGGAGCAAGUUCUUAGCGCCUUUUCAGAAAUCGUUCAGUUCGCCGUACGAAGAGUGUACUCAUUAUCAGGCCAGUCCGUCAACGAUCUGUCGCAGUUUUUCGACAAUGACGACGUUUUCUUUAUAUACGGAAACGAGAAACCCCAGUCCACUGAUUUCGAACUGGAAUUUGAGGAAACCAGAGCCAUACAUUCGUAUAAAAAGACAACUAUACAUAGAAAUGGCGGGGGUCCUAAGCCUAAAAUGCCUAAAAAGGAAUUGAAUCGAACCUAUGAGUCUGAAGAGAGCUUAUUAAAGAAAUUAAGCGAAGAAACUAAUUUAAUUUUACCAGUUCCACUUAAAACUAAAUACGUAGUAGGAAGGAAAGUUAUUGGAGAUGGUAAUUUUGCAGUAGUAAGACUAUGUCGAGACAUCACCACAAACAAAGAACAUGCUUUAAAAAUAAUAGAUAAAUCAAAAUGUAAAGGAAAAGAGGACAUGAUAGAAAACGAAGUGAAGAUCCUCAGGAAAGUGGAUCACCCCAAUAUCAUGUCGUUGGUAGCCGACGCAGAUACCAAAAGUAUUUUGUAUUUAGUUUGCGAAUACGUCACAGGUGGCGAUCUAUUCGAUCAAAUCACAAUUGCUCAAAAGUACUCAGAAGAGCAAGCAGCCUUAAUGAUAAACAAUUUAGUAUCAGCUUUAGCCUAUUUACACAGUAUAAAUAUAGUACAUAGAGAUGUUAAACCCGAAAAUUUAUUAGUAGAAUUAGACGACGACAAUAGAGUGAAAUUAUUAAAAUUAGGAGAUUUUGGGUUAGCCUGCGAAGUGACGAAGCCUUUGUACACCGUGUGCGGGACUCCUACUUAUGUCGCACCGGAAAUUUUGGCCGAAUCGGGCUAUGGACUCAAGAUCGACGUUUGGGCUGCCGGGGUUAUCCUCUAUAUACUCCUUUGCGGCUAUCCGCCUUUCGUCAGUCAAGAUAACGACCAAGAAAAGUUGUUCGAUUGUAUUUUGUCUGGCCAAUACGAUUUUCCCGAAGAAUAUUGGCAAGACGUCUCGUCCUGCGCUAAGGAACUAAUCCAAAAUAUGCUUCAACUAGACCCAGACCUCAGGUUUUCAGCCGAAGACGUACUAGACCAUCCAUGGCUUCAACCCAUCUCUACAUAGGAAGAAAUUAUUUUUACACAGUUAUAUGUAUAUUUAUUUUUUUAUACCUGACAUUGUCCCACACGAAGUGUACGCAGGCAUUGAUUGAUUCUUUAUUUUUACGAAAGUGGGGGGGGGGAGCAAACCAAAAAUAUCGAGAUAUUAAAUAGAGUACUAAGUACUUAAUAAAAUUGUUUGUUGAAUUACAAAAUUAUGAAAUUGACAGUGGUGCGUGUUGACAUUUAACUGUAGUAGAAGUAAACCUAUUGUUCACAUUUUCGUACAAUAAUACUGAGAUUCAUUAAAAAAAAGUAAACAAAUCAUCAAUAUCUAUUUUUUGCGCCCUCAUGCGGUUGCUUUAAAAAGUUCGCAGUCUGCUAAGGUAGUACAUUCGAACCCGCUUAUUGGAAUAGCCUUCGUGCCAAGCAAAAAUAUUCCUAUAACCGGGAUAUUCUAAUAACCGAUCAUUGAUGGCUGGUAGAAAUAAGUGUACCUACUGAAUAGACCUACAUAAUAAUAGUACAUACUAUGUAUGUACCUACAUUUACAUUAUAUUUAUAUGGUUUUAGGUCCUUUUCUGUCAAUGAUACAGCAGUGUAACUCAUUUUAUUAAAAAACCAAAUUAUAUUUUCUGUGCAUAAAUCCAUUAACCCUUAAACGCCCAACCUUUUUUAGGUUCCAUGUACGCCCAAGGGUGGGUAAAAAAUGUCCACCUCGAAAAUAGCUAAUAUAUUUAUUGAGAGUUGUUGGAAAUGGAUUAAACUUAAGGAUCUUAUGCUUAAUAAACACAGCAUCUUGUAAAAUAUUAAUAUAAACAAUUUACAAUCCUUACAACAAAAUUACAAUGUAGAUCAAAAUUAUCAUACCAGUAAAAGCCAGUAAUUCAAAUUUGUCGAUUUUCUCCACAUUCUUGCUUUCAGCUUCCUCAUUGGCGGAUAAUUAUGUCAAUUAUGUAAUUAUACGUCGAUAAUUAUAUGGAUUAUGUUCCUACCAACGAGAAAUUAUAUAGAAACCUUUAGUAACAAGUUUUACCAAGGGUGUACUUUUUAUGCCCACCCAUAUUUAACUCAAGCUAUUACUUUUAUUUUCAAAAAUAUCGGUAGAAACAAUUUAACAUUCGAUAAAAGGCUGUCUUUUUAACAAUAAAUAACUUUUGGAAAAUUUUUAAACACGUAAUAAAUAUGUUACAAGGGAAUACGCAUUAGGUGGACAUUUUUUACCCACCCUUGGGCGUUUAAGGGUUAUAAGCAUAAAAUGUGUGCAAUAUGUAGACAUGUACAUAUUAUCUUAUUUAAAAUGCAUACGCCCAAAUUACUUCUCAUUUUUUUUAAAUCUUACAAUUAUCUUGAAGGUAUACAAAUUAGAAAAAAUUACAUUGAAUUUGCCCUCCAGAAAUAUUUUUAUAAUAUUACAAACGGUUAGGACUUGCCAAAUUGGAUGAAAUAUCCACAAAAUCGAAAAAAUCUUCAUCUUUUGUCUCAUCUUUCGCUUUAAUAUUGAGUUGCGUGGUUUCAUUUUUUUGUUCUGAAUCUUCAGUAUCUUCGAAAACCGAUAAAUUAUCGUCAAAAGAAACAACUCUUAAAAAUAUUCGUCCUUUAUUUUGUCGAUUUCUGUGUUUUGAUGAAUUGGCAGGUAAAAAACGGAUUGUUAAAAUAUUCAAACUCAUGUCAGGUUUAUGGUUAUCAAUAACUAAGAGAACAUUUCUAUUCUUUUCUGCCAUUGUAUUGUCGAAGUCAAUAAACCAUUAACCAAUAAAAUUUAUGACUGCAACGAGGUGGGUCGCAACACAAAUUUUUACAAGUUUUGUGAGAUAAGUAAAAGUAGGUAUUUUAUGGCCUGUUGUAUUUCGUAAAAGGGUCCAGCUGGUGCGUAAUAAAGUAUUUAUUAACUGAAAAAUAUUAAUAUACCAGACAUAAUUUUAAUUUUUUUUGGAAAAUAUGAAUAAAAAGUUAUUCGUCCACUUGAAUAAUAUUUGAUUAACCGGUAUCAAUUCAUUAAAACGUAUUCCUAUAAGCGGAUACAUUUAUUAAGGAGUAAAUGCGUUCCGGGACCUCAAAUUUCUAUUCCUUAAACCGGGAUAUUCCUAUAACCGGUACUCUAAUAAGCGGGUUCGACUGUACGUGAUAAUAAUAUAGGACCAAGGGAGUUAAACCACUUUUAUGUCCCCUCGUUAUGUUUUUGGUGCGUAGAUUUGGUUUUAGAAUCUUCUAAACUAUUAGAGAUAUUUAAUUUUACCAGGAGGAAAUUGCCCGUUUUGCAAAAAUAAACAAAAUGACUCCUGUUCUCCGUCUUAUUUCCUUGUUCGUAAUCCGAUCCCUACGAGAAAUUCCUAACAUCGAGUGUUCCAUGGCUCUUUGGUCAACACAAAUGUUAUUUCUUAUUUUCUUGGUUGAUGUUACAGUUUCGGCACCAUAUGUAAGUACUGGCAACACGCACUUAUUAAAGACUUUUCUUUUGAGACACAUAGGCAGUUCUGAUUUAAGGGCAUAGCUCAGCUUGCCGAAUGCCAUCCAAGUGAGUCCUAUGCGGCGGCUUAGUUCGCGCGUUUGAUUAUCUCUUCCUAUGCGUAUAUCAUGCCCUUAAUAUAUAUAAGAGGCCGUUUCUUCAUAUAUGCAUGCCAUUUACUGAAAGCUUAACACAAGAUUUGUUCAUGAUUUGUGUUUUUGUGUGGUUGAUGUUUAAUCCAACUUGUAGGGAGGCUAGUUUCUCCAGUUGCGAUACUGCAUCAUCGAUGCUGUAAGCAAAAAGAACAAUAUCGUCAGCGAACCUCAAAUUACUAAGCAUUUCUCCGUGGACAUUAAUUCCUUUUACAAUCAGAUUUGCGUUCUUAAACAUAUGCUCUAAUAAUGUUGUAAACAAUUUCGGUGAAAUUGUGUCCCCCUGUCGCACUCCCCGUUUUAUUUUAAAUGCGUUGUACUUUUUAUUAUCUGUCAGUUUCACGCUUGGUGUCGCAUUUUGAUAGAUGUACUUGAUCAUGUUUACAUAUCGAUGAUUAUACGGCACUCUGUUAAGGCUUUUAACAUUUUUUGAUGGCCUAUUGUGUCGAAAGCUUUUUCAUAGUCAACAUAUAUUAAGACUAAUAGCUUGUUAUAUUAAACACUCUUUUCUAUUUAUUUUGACCAUUUUAAUAACGCUCUGAGGCUCACAGCGAAUCAGUAGCAGCGAAUAUAGGCAGGCGCGCGUAAACCGCGCCUAAAUGAAUUUACAAUACCUCGGCAAAAAAUUAGAUAUAAAACAUUUAUCAAAGCUAAAAUGGACUGGUUGAAUUGAUUCGAAUGCAUUUUAAAGGCACAUCUUGACUGGUUGAAUUGACUCGAAAGAAAUGUUGUUAAAGCCUUGACUGUUCGAAUUGACUCGAGAGAAUGAUUCUAAUGUAUACUCUUUCUUCGCGGCCAGAUGAAUUGGGUCAUAGCCCACGCGACCAACGAACAAACGUUUUUAUUUAGUCAGCACAAUUAGUGUGCCCUAGUCAAAAAUAUUGUUUAUGAUUUGUAAUAAUCAACCAAAUUAAAUAGCGCGCAUACGUUUGCAAUAUAAUAACAAUUGCGUUAGUGUGAUAUACGGUGUGAUAAAAAUAUUGUUUAAUAUCGAAUAUGAAAAUUGAAUGUUUGAGAUUAAACCAAAGGAACAAUUUUCAUUUUGGUAAAAUUAAUUAUCUCUAAUAUUUUAGAAGAUAUAUUCAUGUAAUUUAAACAAUUAAAUUAUUAAUAACAAAUUAUCUAACGGGUUUUCACCACGAUACUCUCGAAAAAUCGAAUCUACGAACCAAAAGAACAUAAAAAAACGUCCAGGUACCAAGGGGACAUAAAAGUGCAUACUCAACCCCCCUGGCUCCCUCUGGCAUGACUAUAAAUGAUGAAAUAUAAUUUCUUUUUUUGAAGAACAGCAAAACCUUUUUACUAAUUUACACAAAAACUCUAGAUAUUCACAGGAGACUUUCUAGGAAUAAAAAAAUUCAAGAAAGUGUUGAAACUAGAUUUUAAUAAAUUACUGUUAAAACCAAAGUUCUUUAAAUUAUGUACCUAGAGCGUAGAAUAGAUGGUGAAAUAAAAAGGUGUCAUCCACUGUCAAUUUCUAAAACCAAAAAUCAGAUACGUAUUACUAUUAACGUACUUCUUGAAUGCCUACCUACACUACAGGAAACCUUCCUGCCACAUGUACGACAUUCCCAAAAUAAACUUGGGUUAUAUACCGUUACAUUGUCUGCCUUUUAGAUUCAGAGCAUUUAAUACAGUUAAACAAACCGCAGUAUAAUGCUAUCGAAUUAGUAGGGUUACUCCGCGGAAAUCCUUAGUUCUCUAUAUUCCAUUUUGGAGACGGCGCAUCAAAAGUUUUAGUCCUUACGCAGAUGAAUGACAGUUGACGGUAUCCUACGUUUGCCGUGAUUGGUCGUUAUCGUCACGCGUUUGCUGUGACUGGUCGCGCAUUCAAAAUUUCGUCGUUAUCGUCGCGCAUUUCAAGUCUCGGGAGUGGAUUGCCAAUUUAGAACCGUCAAAAUUCGAGAGUGAAUUAACUGAUUCUUUAGCAUUAAACUGUGAAAAAACUAUAUAUAGUUGAAUACAGUAAAUCUAGAAAUGCAAGUAAGUACGGUCGAUGUUCAGAAUUAGCGGCGAUGUGGUAAGUAGCGGUAAAAAGACUGUUGCAAUUAGUUAACGCAUAUCCGGUCUAGUUAGUAGAAGAAAAACGUGGCUUUUUAAGACUGUUAAAAGACGUUUUUAUGGAUCCAGAGUUGUCACUUGUCAAUUGUCAUUGUUAAAGACAUAUACACUACCCCAAGAAAUUAACGCACCACCUUAAAAAUGGGUCAUUUUUGAUGUCUCGAAUUUUCUAAAACUGUCGUCCGAUUUAACUGAUUUCUUUAAUAUGUUAUAGCCUUAUUCUUUAACAAUAUCGCUGUAAUAAUAUUGUUGCUAGACAGGUAAAUUGUCACUGUAUACCAAGUGUACCAAACAAACUGUGUUUUUUUGCUCAACGUUCACCACAUCCUGUGGAAUUUUUUUCCGAUUCUCCGAUUUUCUUAACAUUCUGUUUUUUGAUUCAAUCGCUUAUGUUGGAUAAUAAAAAAGUUAGGUACUUUAACAACUAGCCAUGUUUUUCAUCAAUACAGGGUGUACGAAAAACUUCGGAAAACUACGAAAAACAGGAAUAAUUCUGCAUGAAAAAUAAAUUACAGUUUGUUUUAUAAACGUAUGCCCGCAAAUGCUUCGUUUCCGAGAUAGGGGGUGUUGAAAUUUUUCUUACAAAAUGACGAUUUAUUUAUUGCUCUAAAACCGGUUGAGAUAUUCAAAUGAAAUUUGAUGGGUUUUAAGAACUAGUGAUCGCCCAUUUUUUGACAUACAUACUAUUAAGAAUUUUAUAUUCACUGUUGGCGUGCAUUCGGAUAAUAUGGCCUGUAUGCGCGCCAAUGGAGAAUAUAAAAUUCUUAAUUGUAUGUCAAAAAAUGUGCAAUAACUACCUCUUAAAACUUACCAAUUUUCAUUUGCAUAUCUUAACCGGUUUUAGAGCAAUAAAUCGCCAGUUUGUAAGAAAAAUUUCAACAUCCCGUAUCUCGGAAACGAAGCAUUUGCCGAUAUAUGUUUAUAAACCAAACUGUCAUUAUUUUUUCAUAGAUAAUUAUCCCUUAAAGUUUGUCGCACUUAUUUAGAAAUACCCUGUAUUGGUGAAUAACAUCCAUCCAUCCAUCCAAUGGCACUACAGCCCAAAUCGAGCCUUGGCCUCCUUCAAUAAGCUUCUCCAAUCAUUUCGAUUUACCGCUGUUCUUUUCCAUGAACGCGUUCCCAGAAAGUUCCUGGCAUCCUCAUCGACUUCGUCUUCCCAUCUCUUUUUAGGUCUUCCAACAGGUCUUCUUCCCUGCAUUCUUGCAUUCAGCAAUUUUCUGGGGAUUCUACUCUCAUGCAUGCGGACCACGUGCCCUGCCCACCGUAAUCUCUGCAGUUUAGUGUGUUGUGCUAGAGUUGGUUCGCUAUAUUGCUCGUAUAUUUCUCUAUUAUACCUAAUUCGCCAGUUGUUAUUUUCACUUAUUGGGCCCAGUAUCCUACGUAAUACUUUUCUUUCAAACACAUCUGAUGCAUUGGCAGAUUUUUGUGUCACCACCCAUGUUUCGCAGCCAUAACUUACUAUGGGCCUGAUUAUUGUUUUAUAUACCCGGAGUUUUGUUUUCCGGUGUACGUCUCGCGAUUUGAAUAUGUGGCCCAUCACAUAGGCUUUAUUUUCCAGCACAAGCCUUCUAUUUAUUUCCGGUUCUUCUUCAUUGCUUGCAACCAGAUCCAUUCCUAGGUACGUGAAUCUAUUCACAUGUUCUAUAUCGUCAAUAAAGUGUUGUUGCGCCGGUCUAUUUGAUCUGGUUUGUAUGAGUAGUUUUGUUUUAUUUGUGUUUAUUGCUAGCCCUACUGCUUCUGCACUCUGUUUCAACUCAACGUAGGUUUCUUCCGCUGCAUUCAUUGUUCUGCUCAUUAUGUUUAUAUCAUCCGCGUAUGCUGCUAAUUGGGUAGAUUUGUUUGUAAGUAUGUUAUUUCCGCUUACCGUCAACCGUCUAAUUAAAUAUUCAAGAACAAGAUUAAAAAGCGUUGGAGCCAGUCCGUCGCCUUGUUUCAGUCCUUGCGUUAUCGUAAACGCAUCAGUGAUCUGUCCUUGAAUACAUACUUGUGCUUCUGUUUCUGUCAUUGUCAUUUGCACUAGUCGUAUUAAUUUUGAUGGUAUGCCAAAUUCUUCCAAUAUAUUAGGUAGAAUUGUUCUAUCUAUUGAAUCAUAGGCUUGUUUAAAAUCUACAAAGAGAUUGUAAACGUCCAUGUCAUAUUCCCAUGCUUUGGCUAGUAUUUGUUUAACUGUAAAUAGUUGGUCAAUGAUAGAUCUAUUUUGCCUAAACCCUGCUUGAUAUUCCCCGAUGAUUUUUUCCGUGAGAGGUUGAAGUCUUCGAUUAAGGAUGUUUGUGAAUAUUUUGUAUCCCGAACAAAGUAAAGAGAUGCCUCUAUAAUUCUGACACAACAGUUUGUCUCCUUUUUUAUGAAUAGGGCAGAUUAUACUUUUCUUCCAUUGUUGGGGGAUUUUUUCUUCUAUCCAUAUCUCUCGUAUUAGCUGAUACAUCUGUUGUGUCAAAUUCCUUCCUCCUUGCUUGAGUAGUAUGUGGAUUGCCGUUUGGACCUCCUCUAGCGUUGGGGGUCUAGUUAAUUCAUUUUCUUCUCCAUCUUCCCCCGGCUCUUGUUGUUGUACCCCCCAGCUCUUGUUGGUGAAUAACAUGGCCAGAUGUUAAAGUACCUAACUUUUUUAGUAUCCAACAUAAGGGCAUGAAUAAAAAAACAGAAUGUUAAGAAAAUUUGAGGCUAUAGUUGGGUUUUAAUUUCAGUAUUUUAUAAAUGCUAGAAUAUUUCACACGGUGUGAAUUUUGAGAAAAAACAUAUUUUGAUUGGUACACCCGGUAUACAAUGACCAUUUACCUGUUUAGCAACAAUAUUAUUACAGCGAUAUUGUUAAGGAAUAAAGCUAUAACAUAUUAAAAAAAUCACUUAAAUCGGCCAACAGGUUUAGAAAAUACGAGACAUCAAAAAUGACCCAUUUUUAAGGUGGUGCGUUAAUUUCUUGGAGUAGUGUAUUUAUGGAUACAGAAUUUUCAAUUGUCAUUUGUAUGCAUAUGUAUAAGAACACUUCAUGGUCGACGAACUUGUGAGAUUAGUAUGGCAUUGGACAAGCAUGUUAUGUAGAGUGGCUGUGAAUAAAAUUAAGAUGGCUAUGAUGGUAAGCAACGUUCUGAAAGGACAUGGCACAUGAAGAAGACGCAUUUAGUCGUGAUUUAUUUGAUUUUUUAUUUAAUUUAUGUCACUACCACUAUUACUAUCAUAUUCGCUUCCGAAAUCACUGUAAUCACUAAUAAAUUCUACAUCCGAUUGCCCAAGAUCAUUCGCCUUAUCACUUUCAUAAACUAUAUGUUUUAUGUCCGCCAUUUUAGGGUAAUAUACACGAAAUAAAAAUGAAAAUGUAAACACCCACAAGGAAAAAGUUUUCCUGUAGUUGGCUGUAUACCAUGUAAUACAAAAAACAGUAAAAUCCUUUAUAAAAGCUACAUAUAUAUUUAAAAUCCCUAAAAAGGGCUACAUCACAAUCACAUAACUAGUUUUCGAUUGGUUUUUUACCAAUCAUCAUCAGUGCUUACGUGAAAUUUACAUGUUAACCACCAAGAUAUAAUUUUAUACAAAUAUGUGGGUCAAAGCCCUUAAUCCGUCAAGGAAACAUCGGUUGAAAAUGCUAAUUUAAGCAUGGAUGUUUAAAGUAUUUUACUAAUAUGCCCCAGGUAACAUCUGAGCUGUGGUUUGACUUGUUCACGUGGUGAAAGUAUGGCAGCAAGUAAAGAAAAUGUAAACGUAUUGAAACAAAUGUAUAUUCGUGCGUCAAUUGUUACGCGGCUACUUAUCGUGUUAGGGAAUUGGAGCAACGCAUACGCAUUCGCACAGGCGCAACGCAUGCGCACUUUACUUCAAGAAAAACAUCACGCAUAUGUUCAAUUUCAAUGACGAGUCAGACUCGUCAUCUCUAAACUAAAAUUAGUUAUCGAAUGAGCGCUAGACUAAAUAAUGAAACUCUUACACACACAAUGUUCAAAACAGAGAGCUAAAAUUUUAAAUUUAAAAUAAAACUGAAUAAUGAAGACACUCUACACUGAAAAAAGGACAUGCUACAAUAGUUCUGUCAUUGUUGCUUCUCAAUAUUUCAGUAGUUCGUUUGGUAUUCCGUCUUUACCUACAGAUAUUCUGUUCUUCAGCUGUUCAAGUGGUUUUCGAACUUACAUGUGUAUUUAUAUUAACUUCUUCAUUUGUGGUAAUUUCUGGUGUCUCCGAUUAUAGCGUCCGUCAUUUAUUCUUCCUUUGUUGCAAAAAAGCUCUACGCAGAGGAAGAACAGAGGCAGGUAAAUACAAAUGCAAAAGAGAUGAAACUAGUAGAGGUGGGAAAUUUAGCGAUAGAAACCUAUAAAUUUACAUUAAAUUGAUUAUUCCCCACCUUUAGACGUAUCAGAGGAGUAUGUCAACUAAAACUGUCACCGUCACAAAAUUGCCAAACUCUUCCGAUACGUCUGAAGGUGGGAAACAAUCAAUAUAAUGUAAAUUUCCGUAUAAUAUGGUUUCCGUAUUUUACGUUAUUUUGCCGGUUAUUAGGGCACUCAUCACUGUAUAUGACAAUUAUUACUUGAAGAGAGUACUUCUACAAUGACAUUGACAAGUGACAGAAUCUUAAGGAUUUUGUGUUUUAGGCGAGUUGAAUAUACUAUAAAGGUCGCUGGUGAUUGGUGAAAACCAAAGUUUGAUUUCAUUUUUGUGAUGUUUUUAUAUGUAUUUACAAAAUAUAUAUUUAUAAGAAUAAAAUCGUUUGAAGUGUGAGUGAAAUUAAUUGGAAAAAUAAAACGAUAUUCGGAGCUUCAUAGAACGGAAAUUGUAAAAUGUAGUGUGCUAACUAACUUGGCCCUUAAGAUUGUAGUCCUUUAUGUUUGUUUAUUUAAACCUAUUUGGUUAUACGAAACAUGUAAAUCAGUAAUCUUUUUUGAUACUCACAUUUAAGUAUGGAAUUUAAACUGUAGUGUCGCAAUUGAUAAUUUCUAAUAUACCUAGAACCAUUUCUUGCAAGCAAAAAUAAAUCCAAAGAACCGGAUUACUAAAGAUUUCUUACGCUGGAAAACAAAUUCUGGUUACAACCUAAAUCCGAGGAUAAAUGGAUAGACAUAGGGAAUCUACAAUGUGCAUUCCACGACAGGAUCAAUUUAUCCAGGUAAAAAUCCAACGAAUUUGAUUCCUAGUACAUACUCAAUUUGUGAGUAAACGAGUAAAAAGACAGUUUAAGAUUUAGUUUUGGCACAGAGACCACCACAAUCUGUUCUCUCUCUUAUCUUAUAGUCUACUCGCAACAUAGGGCGCAACAUAGUCGCACUUUUAGCUCUCCGCGAUUUGAUGGUGGUAUUAUAGGUUUUUUGGGUCGCUGAAUCCAAUGGAAGCGGUCUGGAAGCCCAAAUGUGGUGCGUUUAUUUGUUAUUAACAAAUUAUGGUAAAAUUAGGUGUUUUUCAGGAAUUAUUAGAAGCCGUGUAAAAAAAUUGAUAGUAUUGAGGUCUUCUCUGGCGUAUUUUUGGUCGCUGAAUCAAAUGCGACUAGUUGCGAUUACUCAAAAUGUGUUCUUACUUUGUUAAUAACAAAAUAAUUGUUUAUUCGCCGAAAAGCUCGAAAUGCGUUAUCUACAGCAAGUUUGUAGUCUUUUUCAUAGUAUUUUUAUACGCUAAAUCGAUUGUCACUAGUCGUGAUAGCUUAAUCCACGUUCCGACUUUGUUAUUAUUAAAUUAUUGCUAAAAUAACGGUUUAUAAUACUAGGCUAUUGAUUAUAUUCAAAAUAAGAUAGCUAAAAGGAACUACAACGUUAUCGGGGUUUUAUUAUUUCAUAUGGUCAAUGGACAUCUAUAUAUGAAAAAACCGCGGAGUGCUACCAUUUAAAGGGGUGCGUUUUUGAGAAAUGGGUCAAUUAGUCCCUGGGCACAGGUUACAUUAGGGUGAGUUCUAUGCACUUUUGGUACAAACAUGUCUACAUAAAAAUUGUUCCUGGUUAAAUUUCCUAUCUAAAUAUUUCUUUUUAAAGUUAAUGAUACUUUUUUUUACAAAAAUAUAUUCAAAAGAAAAAGCACAAAGAAACCCAAAAGAAAGAAAUUUUGUUUUUCGUCCCAUAACUUUUGUCCACGAGGAUAUAGGUAUAGACAUUGCUUUACAGAAAAAAAAACCUACAUAUUUUUUCUUUAAAAUGUUGUUUAGUAGAGGUAAUUAGGAUUUAUAGUUUUCGAAAUAUAAUUUUUCAAAGUUCGCCAAUCACAGCAAUUUUCCUCGUUAUUUCGCAAAUAUUGUUCUGUAACUUUUUUCUACGUAACUUUAGGUAUAUGCAAUGGUACACGUAAUAGGAAUAUAAAUCAAUUACCUUCGAAAUGGUCCACUGUGUAACGUUGUACGACUUUUUUUAAAGAGAUUAUGGUUUUUCAAGGUUUUAUACUUUUAACGAUUUUUUAUGAUAUAAUAUAAAAAUAAAAUAAUAUUAUUAUAUAAUAUAUUAUAUAUUAUAUAAUAUUAUAUUAUACAAUGUAUAUAUAAUAUAUUAUAUUAUAUAUUAUAUAAUACCUAAUAUAAAUUUUUUUUUAUAUUUUUUAGGAUUAUUUUUGAAAUUUCUCAUUAUAACUUUUCUUUCUUGUACAUGAAUAUACUAAAUGUUGCUCAAUAAAGAGGGCUUACUUUCUGUUCUUUAAAAUGGUGUAUCAUCUAUAUUUAAAUAUGUAAUGGAAACCGAGUGAUUGUUUGAUAUUUUUCUACCUGUAUUAUUUAAAAUUAUUUCUUUUACAAAAAUUACAUAAACAUUAAUCUUAGAAAACAUCACUUUAGUUAAAAUUAUUUAAACGUUGACAUUUAAAAAAUUUUCAAAAUCAAAGUCCAUCUCUUCGUUAGCAUUAGCUUCAAUAUCUUCCUCUGACACUUGUUAUCUUAGAGUUCCCACAAUUAGUACCCAUGCACAUGCAUCCUUUGCAGAAUAUUGAACAACUAAUUCCUAUCUUCCUACAACCGCAAUUUUUUGUACACCAUUUGGUACAUUUACAUGAUAUUUUCUCAAGCAAAGCUUGUGGUGCAGGAGCUUUGACAGUAAAUAUUGGAAUUAAUCCAUAUUUUGAAGUUUGCCCGGCCGAGUCAAGUGGAUCCAAAGUAUUGCCUAUAAAAAAUAAGAUUCAAUCAUAACACACAAUCACAUAAAAAAGGUAUAAUGAGAAAUUUAAAAAAUAAUCCUAAAAUCAAAAAUCGUUGCAAGUACUUUUACAUUUUGAAAAAAUAUCUUAUUCAAAAAUAAUCCUAGAAUUUUUUAUAAUACACCAUUUUAAAGUAAACAGAAUAAGUUUUCUUUUUUAUUAUAUAAUAUAUACCUAAGUGUAGAAAAAAAAAGUUAUAAUGGGAAAUUUAAAAAAUAAUCGUAAAAAAUAUAAAAACUCGUUAAAAGUGUAUAAAGUCUUGAAAAAGAUAACCUCUUUAAAAGAAGUCGUAGAACAUUAUACAGUAGAACAUUUUAAAGGUAAUUGAUUUCUAUUCCUCUUACAUGUACCAUUGCAUAUGCCUAAAGUUACGUAGAAAAAAGUUACAGAACAAUAUUUGCGAAAUAACAAGGAAAACUGCCCAAAAUUGCUGUGAGUGACGAAAUUUGAAAAAUCAUAUUUCCAAAACUGUAAAUCCUAAUGACCUUUACCAAACAUCAUUUUAAAGACAAAAUAUGUAAGUUUUUUUUCUGUGAAGCAAUGUCUAUACCUAUAUCCUCGUGGACAAAAGUUAUGGGACAAAAAACAAAAUUUCUUUCUUUUGGGUUUCUUUGUGCUUUUUCUUUUGAAUAUAUUUUUGUAAAAAAAAAGUAUCUUUGACUUUAAAAAGUUAUAUUUAUAUAGGAAAUUUAACCAGGAAAAAUUUUUAUGUAGACAUGUUUGUACCAAAAGUGCAUAGAACUCACCCUAAUGUAACCUGUGCCAAGGGACUAAUUCACCCAUUUCUCAAAAACGCACCCCUUUAAAUGGUAGCACUCCGCGGUUUUUUCAUAUAUAGAGAUUCAUUGACCAUAUGAAAUAAUAAAACCCCGUUAACGUUGUAGUUCCUUUCUAUAGUACAUAAUCAAUAGCCUAUACGUUUACUCACGGUUUUUGCUCUAAAUUUUAAAAAACCACUUGGAACGACAUGAAACUUGGCAUACAAUUUAUUUACUUCUAAUAAUUCCUGAAAAACACCUAAUUUUAACAUAAUUUGUUAAUAACAAUUAAACGCACCACAUUUGGGCUUCCAGACCACUUAUAUUGGAUUCAGCGACCCAAAAAACCUAUAAUACCACCAUCAAAUCGCGGCGAGCUAAAAAUGCCCACAGGACCCCCGAUGUUGCGACUAGACAAUUAGGCAACUGUUCUUUCCGAUGGCUUAUUUAUUUCUUCUUCUAAUUGUUCUACUACUAACCUUCCUUGGAUGUCUCCUAAUUGGUAUGUUUUUCUUUUCACUUAAAUGUUUAAUAUUAUUGAUUUUUAAUAAUUCAGUUAGCAUUAUUAAUAUAAGAGCUUCUAUUAAUAUCUUGUUCUAAGUAUAUAUACUAAGGAUUUUCGCAGUUUUUACUGUAUUCCUUCACUCAACCGCCCUCUCCAGUUGUUUCUGUUUUGCCAGCUUCUUUCCAUUGCUUCAUUCCUGAAAGAUCUUCGGGGCCUGCGUCUCUUCCUUCUUUCUAUCAGGGCUCCACUCUGUUUUCUGAGUGGUUUUCGUAUUAUGUCGUAAAACGUCCACUAUCCAGAUUGGAGGACACUUCUAAAUUGCCCCCUAAUUUAAAGCUUUCUUUUGACAGAUUCUUCGUGGUAUAGUCGGUUCGCUAAACUCAGACACAACUGGCUAGUGAUUUUAGCAAGUAAUUUGGCCAAUUUGGUAAAAUUGGCAAAAAAAAAAAUACUAACUAGUUAAUAAUUACUAAAUAGCUAUCAAUUUUGCCAAUAUUGGCAAAAAACAAAAAAUUACCUGCUAAAAUCAUCAGGCAGUUGUGUCUGAGUUUAGCGAAUCGACUAUACAUAAAUACAGUGUGCGACAUAAUAAACAGUACUGAAAUGAAUAUUGAAAUGUUUAUGAUUAUUUAUAUAUCUAAUAUACAUGAUAUAGCCUUGCAAACAUUAUUCACGACGACGCACGUUCCCGAUAAAACAGAUGUUAAAGAUGUCCUUUGGCCAGUGGCGGAUCUACGGGAAGGGAAAAUUAGAAAAUUCCACCCUAACACGAUCCAAAAUUAAAAAAAAAAUGUUCAAACAAAAAUAUAUUAGCUGACAUGCAACUGAAACCACAGAAAGACAAAUUCAACUCAAUAAACACGCUAGUUAAGAAAAUUAAGAGAACUUAAUAUGUAUAACUUAUUAUUUAUGUCUUUUAUGUAAUCUGAGCUUAUCUUUUUUAUGUCUCUUGGUUGGUUUUUCAUUGGAACUUCCCCCUAAGGCAUAUUUUCCCUCCCAAUGCAAAUUUUUAAAUCCGCUACUGCCUCUGACAUGAAAAAAUCUUUAAUUCUAAUCCGCAAUUCCGAAAUGGCAGACGGUGGAUCUGUCUGACUCCUUUAGCAUUCCCCAUAUGUACGCAUCUGGUGGCGUUAGUUCUGUUGAGGGCAACUCCCAAAAUUAUCGCGCAGUAUUCGAAGAGACUCCUUGUCAGUGUGACAGGACUGCCGAAACGAUUGUUGAUUUUAAGCUUGGACCGUUUUCGUGACCUUUUUUGUAUGGCCGAAAAUUGUACUCACCCAUAAACAAUUUUUCUGCAAAAAUGAGAACCAUUUUGAAGCACCUAACAUUAUCACGACAUUCACAUAAGUUAUAAUGACGUUCGAAAUCAACUCAGUACGUUUCUGCGCCCGACACAUUGAGGCAUACGAAUUUCAGUAAUGUUUAGUUUGCCGUAUACCGUAUAAAGCAAAUAUGGACACUAUUGGUCAAGCAAAAAAUGAUUCGACUUUAGUUUAUUAUAUGAUUAUUUGUGUUGAUUAUGAUUAUGUAAAUAUAAACACUUUCUACUGUAAAACCGCAACUUAAAAAUUAAGACGAAGUGUAUAUGAUUGUUUUUGUGACACUACGAGUUUUUAGAUAUUUGAAGAGAUAUGAAAUUAUUAAAAUAUGUGCAAUUAUUCUUUGAAUUGAUUUUGUUUCGAUGAAAAUACUUCCCAGUGCUCUUUUGAGUACUGUAAUUUUAAAAAAUUGGUAAUACCUAGUCGAAAAUUUCCAUUUUAGUUUGAAAAUUGUGUUUGAACGAUUUUUAUGCGAGCUAAAAAAGCAAUAACCAGACUGUUAUGUAUACCAGUGAACUUUUUUUAUAAUUGUUGCGCUAAAAAGGGAAACAAUAUGUAAAAAUAUCAUUUUAACGCAAAUGAUGACGACUAUACAAAAUAUGCCUAUUUUUAUGCACUUUACAAAAUUUUUUUGGUACCAAAAACAGCUCAUAUGCCCAUUGACCUGUUAUUUGACGAUUAUUGAGUAUUAUGAAUUGUCAAAUUUACUCAACUGUAAUUAUUUUUUAAAAAGACAAAGAGUCAUUAAGCUCCAGCGAAUAAUGACUAACUGUUUUUUUAUUUAUAACCGAUAACGAAGUACUUGAAUCUUUAUAUUUUAAGGUAAAGAAUUUAAGUGUAGAAAGUAUUAUUUAUUAUAAUAUUUAAAUAUUUUACGUACAUUCAAUGUAGGUUUUGUUUUUCUUUGUUUAUAUUAUUUUAUUUUUUUUAUAACACUAGAGACUAAAAGCUGUAAAGUUCAAGUAGUGUAAAUAUAUUAUUUAAGUAGAA
rnacentral:misc_RNA from 1 species